rnacentral:rRNA from 1 species
AAUGUUGAAAAAUUAGCGGAUGACCUGUGGCUGGGGGUGAAAGGCCAAUCAAACCGGGAGAUAGCUGGUUCUCCCCGAAAGCUAUUUAGGUAGCGCCUCGUGAAUUCAUCUCCGGGGGUAGAGCACUGUUUCGGCUAGGGGGCCAUCCCGGCUUACCAACCCGAUGCAAACUGCGAAUACCGGAGAAUGUUAUCACGGGAGACACACGGCGGGUGCUAACGUCCGUCGUGAAGAGGGAAACAACCCAGACCGCCAGCUAAGGUCCCAAAGUCAUGGUUAAGUGGGAAACGAUGUGGGAAGGCCCAGACAGCCAGGAUGUUGGCUUAGAAGCAGCCAUCAUUUAAAGAAAGCGUAAUAGCUCACUGGUCGAGUCGGCCUGCGCGGAAGAUGUAACGGGGCUAAACCAUGCACCGAAGCUGCGGCAGCGAACGUAUCACCCAAGACAACUUUACGGAGUUGACGAUUGACGGAGCGAAGCGACGUCAAAGCGUUCAUUAAAGUCGAGUUGGCUUAGGGAUACGUUCGUUGGGUAGGGGAGCGUUCUGUAAGCCUGUGAAGGUGUGUCGUGAGGCAUGCUGGAGGUAUCAGAAGUGCGAAUGCUGACAUAAGUAACGAUAAAGCGGGUGAAAAGCCCGCUCGCCGGAAGACCAAGGGUUCCUGUCCAACGUUAAUCGGGGCAGGGUGAGUCGACCCCUAAGGCGAGGCCGAAAGGCGUAGUCGAUGGGAAACGGGUUAAUAUUCCCGUACUUGGUGUUACUGCGAAGGGGGGACGGAGAAGGCUAUGUUGGCCGGGCGACGGUUGUCCCGGUUUAAGCGUGUAGGUGUGUGUUCCAGGUAAAUCCGGUUCACUUUAACACUGAGGCGUGACGACGAGGCACUACGGUGCUGAAGCAACAAAUGCCCUGCUUCCAGGAAAAGCCUCUAAGCAUCAGGUAACACGAAAUCGUACCCCAAACCGACACAGGUGGUCAGGUAGAGAAUACCAAGGCGCUUGAGAGAACUCGGGUGAAGGAACUAGGCAAAAUGGUGCCGUAACUUCGGGAGAAGGCACGCUGACACGUAGGUGAAGUGAUUUACUCAUGGAGCUGAAGUCAGUCGAAGAUACCAGCUGGCUGCAACUGUUUAUUAAAAACACAGCACUGUGCAAACACGAAAGUGGACGUAUACGGUGUGACGCCUGCCCGGUGCCGGAA